GCCCCGGGCGGAUCCCGGCCCCCCCAAUGCGACGAGGUACGUACACCAUGGGGGGAGAGGCCAGCAGCAGCAAUCAACACGGGAAAAAACCUUCCGUAGGUGAACCUGCGGAAGGAUCAUUACCGAGUUGAUUCGAGCUCCGGCUCGACUCUCCCACCCAAUGUGUACCUACCUCUGUUGCUUUGGCGGGCCGCGGUCCUCCGCACCGGCGCCCUUCGGGGGGCUGGCCAGCGCCCGCCAGAGGACCAUAAAACUCCAGUCAGUGAACUUCGCAGUCUGAAAAACAAGUUAAUAAACUAAAACUUUCAACAACGGAUCUCUUGGUUCUGGCAUCGAUGAAGAACGCAGCGAAAUGCGAUAAGUAAUGUGAAUUGCAGAAUUCAGUGAAUCAUCGAAUCUUUGAACGCACAUUGCGCCCCUUGGUAUUCCGAGGGGCAUGCCUGUUCGAGCGUCAUUUCAACCCUCAAGCUCUGCUUGGUAUUGGGCCCCGUCCUCCACGGACGCGCCUUAAAGACCUCGGCGGUGGCGUCUUGCCUCAAGCGUAGUAGAAAACACCUCGCUUUGGAGCGCACGGCGUCGCCCGCCGGACGAACCUUUGAAUUAUUCUCAAGGUGACCUCGGAUCAGGCACGUAUGAACCAGGCCCGA
rnacentral:rRNA from 1 species